rnacentral:rRNA from 1 species
AGCGAACGUUAGCGGCGGGCCUAACACAUGCAAGUCGAGGGAGAAAGUGGCUUCGGCCAUGAGUAAACCGGCGGACGGGUGAGUAACACGUGGGUAAUGUACCUACCGGCGGGGGACAACAAUCCGAAAGGAUUGCUAAUACCGCAUUCGUCGACGGGGUCUCUGGAUCCUGUCGGGAAAGAUGGCCUCUCAGAGAAGCUAUCACCGGUAGAUCAGCCCGCGGCCCAUCAGCUAGUUGGGAGGUAAUGGCUCACCAAGGCUUAGACGGGUAGCUGGUCUGAGAGGAUGAUCAGCCACACUGGGGACUGAGA